rnacentral:rRNA from 1 species
AGAGUUUGAUCAUGGCUCAGAUUGAACGCUGGCGGUAUGCUUAACACAUGCAAGUCGAACGGUAACAGUCCCUCACCUAGAAAUUUCUUAAAAAGAGAUUUGUAGGUGAGGGAGCUGACGAGUGGCGGACGGGCGCGUAAUGUAUAGGAAUCUGCCUGGUAGUGGGGGACAACUCGGAGAAAUUCGAGCUAAUACCGCAUAAGCCCUACGGGGGAAAACGGGGGAUCUUCGGACCUCGUGCUAUUAGAUGAGCCUAUAUUAGAUUAGCUUGUUGGUGAGGUAAUGGCUUACCAAGGCGACGAUCUAUAGCUGGUCUGAGAGGAUGAUCAGCCACACUGGGACUGAGACACGGCCCAGACUCCUACGGGAGGCAGCAGUGGGGAAUAUUGGACAAUGGGCGAAAGCCUGAUCCAGCAAUACCGCGUGUGUGAAGAAGGCCUGAGGGUUGUAAAGCACUUUCAAUUGGGAGGAAUACCUAAUAGUUAAUAGCUAUUAGAUUGACA